rnacentral:misc_RNA from 1 species
GGAAUUGAAGCAGCUGCUGGAGUUAAAGCUACUAAGGCUUUUGACAUUUCGACCUGUUGAAGCUCCAUAUUGUUUUGCACAAAGUUCUUCACAUUUUGAGUGAACUGCGCCAUAUUCAAUUCAAUUGUAGGAAUUUCAUCAGGAUCUUCAAAGCAAACAUCUUCAAUGUCGAUUUCGGGAGCAUCUUGCUCUGGCUCAGGUGAGGCAGGCUCUUCGACAAUGGGCUGUGGUGUUGCUGGCACCUCAAUAAUAGGUGCGGAGUUGAUCAAUUUGGGAUGCUCUAAAGGUGUUUGAUUAGCCUGGGGUAAGGUUAGCGGCUGUUGAUUGAAGUUCUGGAAUGGAUUCUGG